rnacentral:rRNA from 1 species
GCUUACGUGCCACACCGGCCUGAGUACGCCUGAUCUCGUCCGAUCUCGGAAGCUAAGUAGGGUCGGGCCUGGUUAGUACUUGGAUGGGAGACCGCCUGGGAAUACCAGGUGCUGUAAGCU